rnacentral:rRNA from 1 species
AAACCUGAGAGUUUGAUCCUGGCUCAGAACGAACGCUGGCGGCAGGCCUAACACAUGCAAGUCGAACGAAGGCUUCGGCCUUAGUGGCGGAC